AUACGGAGGGUGCAAGCGUUAAUCGGAAUUACUGGGCGUAAAGCGUACGUAGGCGGUUCGUUAAGUUAGAUGUGAAAGCCCCGGGCUUAACCUGGGAACUGCAUUUAAAACUGGCGAACUAGAGUUGAGUAGAGGGGAGUGGAAUUUCAGGUGUAGCGGUGAAAUGCGUAGAGAUCUGAAGGAACACCAGUGGCGAAGGCGACUCCCUGGACUCGAACUGACGCUGAGGUACGAAAGCGUGGGUAGCAAACGGGAUUAGAAACCCCGUAGUCC
rnacentral:rRNA from 1 species